GUUGCGGUGGCCGAGUGGUUAAGGCGUUGGACUAGAAAUCCAAUGGGAUCUUCCCGCGCAGGUUCGAAUCCUGCCCGCAAUG
rfam:Nematostella vectensis strain CH2 x CH6 NEMVEscaffold_275_Cont21959, whole genome shotgun sequence.